rnacentral:lncRNA from 1 species
CUUCCCAAUGCUGGUGGAGUGUUUAUUUACACCUCCUAAGAUGGUCUGCAGAGCUCCCCAAUCCAUUGUCUUGUCUUAAAGGUAUGACCUGCAAUUGCGGAAGCCUGUAUUUCGCUCGGUGCCGUAGCUGCUCGGGCACUUCACAUAACGCGCUCGCUGCCUCAGCGCUGCCGGGACCCCUUCGGGGCCAGCACCAGGGCUCAGCGGUGCG